rnacentral:tRNA from 1 species
GGUUAGUUAGUUAAAGUUAUAAUGUGGAUUUUGUAAGUCUAAGUUGGUUAUUAUUCACUGACCU